UUGAUUUGUAGCAACAAAAAUAUAUACCUAAUACUAAUCACUAAUUAAUCCGGCCACUCUAAUUCUCUAAACCAAACCGGUGCGUGCCUGGUCCUUUCCCCGUCGCAGUUCGCACCAGAGGCCACAUCCAACCAUCCAGGAUCCAUCACGACCACGCCCUGAUUUGGAUCCACUCGUUCCCCACCCCAGUCUGCAUCGCGACCACGCCCCCACGGCACGCACAACAGCGCACUCCCCCACCGCACGUCC
rnacentral:lncRNA from 1 species